UACAGAGGGUGCAAGCGUUAAUCGGAAUUACUGGGCGUAAAGCGCACGUAGGUGGAUACUUAAGUCAGGUGUGAAAUCCCCGGGCUCAACCUGGGAAUGGCAUUUGAGACUGCAUAGCUAGGGUGCGGAAGAGGGAAGCGGAAUUUCCGGUGUAGCGGUGAAAUGCGUAGAUAUCGGAAGGAACACCAGUGGCGAAAGCGGCUUCCUGGUCCAGCACCGACGUUCAGGCACGAAAGCGUGGGGAGCAAACAGG
rnacentral:rRNA from 1 species